rnacentral:rRNA from 1 species
UUAACCGGAUUAGAUACCCUGGUAGUCCACGCCCUAAACGAUGUCAACUAGCUGUUGGGGCCGUUAGGCCUUAGUAGCGCAGCUAACGCGUGAAGUUGACCGCCUGGGGAGUACGGUCGCAAGAUUAAAACUCAACGGAAUUGACGGGGACCCGCACAAGCGGUGGAUGAUGUGGAUUAAUUCGAUGCAACGCGAAAAACCUUACCUACCCUUGACAUGUCUGGAAAGCCGAAGAGAUUUGGCCGUGCUCGCAAGAGAACCGGAACACAGGUGCUGCAUGGCUGUCGUCAGCUCGUGUCGUGAGAUGUUGGGUUAAGUCCCGCAACGAGCGCAACCCUUGUCAUUAGUUGCUACGCAAGAGCACUCUAAUGAGACUGCCGGUGACAAACCGGAGGAAGGUGGGGAUGACGUA